UUUUGAUGUGCUGUGGAGUUAAUCCUUGUGCCAUGGAUGAUUGUUUUUCUGUGUUGAUGAUGUUGAGUUCUUGUCGUCCUGUGCGGACGAAAUUUCAGUGAUAACAGAGAGGAUUGGGAAAUCUUCUCAAAUUGCAUCAUGAUGGGGAUAGAACAUUGCAAUUAUUGGUAUUCAACGAGAAAUUCCUAGUAAGCGUGUGUCAUCAGCUUGUGUUGACUACGUCCCUGCCCUUUGUACACACCGCCCGUCGCUCCUACCAAUUGAAUGAUCCAGUGAAGUGUUCGGAUCGCAUCAACGAGGGUGGUUCACCACCAACGAUGUCGAGAGAAUUUCACUGAACCUUAUCAUUUAGAGGAAGGAGAAGUCAUAACAAGGUUAGCGUAGGUGAACCUGUGGUAGGAUCAUUG
rnacentral:ncRNA from 1 species